rnacentral:sRNA from 1 species
AGCAAUUCCGCAGGGCAUCUGACCUCCACUGUUGACUUCUACCCAGAGGACAAGAACAUUUUUAGUUCCCAAGGAAUGUACAUCAGCCCCACGGAAGCUAGGCCACCUCUGGGAUGGGGUUGCUGGUUUAAAACAAACACCAGUCAUCCUAUAUAAGGACCUGACAGCCACCAGGCACCACCUCCGCCAGGAAUUGCAGCAGAGAAAGGAGUCGAAGAAGCCACCAGCCAAGCUGCAGCCCCGAGCUCUAGCAGGCUGGCUCCGCCCGGAAGAUGGAGGUCAAGCAGAAGGGGCAGAGGAUGAACUGGAAAUCCGGUUCAACGCCCCCUUUGAUGUUGGAAUCAAGCUGUCAGGGGUUCAGUACCAGCAGCACAGCCAGGCCCUGGGGAAGUUUCUUCAGGACAUCCUCUGGGAAGAGGCCAAAGAGGCCCCAGCUGACAAGUGAUCGCCCACAAGCCUUACUCACCUCUCUCUAAGUUUAGAAGCGCUCAUCUGGCUUUUCGCUUGCUUCUGCAGCAACUCCCACGACUGCUGUACAAGCUCAGGAGGCGAAUAAAUGUUCAAACUGUA